rnacentral:rRNA from 1 species
GGAGUAUGCACGGAGACGACCACCUCGACUCACCGCCGGUCACGCGCGCUCACCCCCGUCCGCACGAGCCGCCCGCCGUCCUCCGCCGUCAGCUUCAACCCCAACAGUGCUCUUACAUCUCUUGUAGCUAGCUGGAAAAGCGAGCUUGCAUUAUGGACGACUCUUCAACUAGGAGCCAUGUUUCUGAGGGGAAUCGGCUGGGCUAUGUAAGAAGUGAAUCCAUGGAUUCCGCUGGCCAUCCUUCGGCUGCUAGGUCAGGCUCACUGCUAAGCAGGAGAAGUAGCAGGCCCAGUUCAAGGGGAUCCAUUAGCCUCUCUCGCGAGAUGGGCGACUCGAUCCUCAACUCAAUGAGGCAUUCCCUUCAGUCAGCAGACCAGUUGCUAGGUGAUGCUGAUGGCUCGGCUUUGGCUCAGGUCAUUGACAGUGGUGACCGAGUGCUAGCCUUGGAAGAUGAGGAUGAUGAAGAUACGGCAAAUACAUUGGAUCAACAUAAGUUCGGUCCUGUCCGAGAUAAUCGAAUCCAUGGCUACAGCUCACAUGGCACAGGUCUGCCAGCACCUGAGUCUUCUGUGGAGCCAAAGGGCGAGAGCUCAUCAGGCAAGGUUGAAGAAUAUAUGCUUUCUCGGAGGCUAGAUUACGCUUCUUACCUGAUCCAUUUAGCUGCCUUUGGGUUAUUUGGGGUAUUUACAAGGUAUGGGCUCCAAAAGCUGUUCGGCCCAGGCUGCCUGGCACUCACCUCCAACCAAAGCCCGUUGUACCUUGAUCUUCCAUCAAACAUGCUAGGAUCCUUCCUGAUGGCCUGGUUUGGGAUCAUCUUUAAGACUGACAUUCGGCACAUAUCUGAACAUCUCAUUGUUGGAAUCACAACCGGAUACAUGGGAAGCCUUACUACCUUCAGUGGGUGGAAUCAAGCGAUGGUUAGCAUGUCUUCCAAAGACCAUUGGGCAUAUGCCAUAGCUGGCAUAGUAUUAGGAAUGUUCAUCGUCAAUGAGUCCAUCAGGGUGGGCGCCGAAACAGGUGAGCGCCUACGAAGCUGGAUCCUGAAAUGCAUCAAGGAAAAUAGUUCAAUAGGAAGCAAAUGUAACUGGGAGCACCUGAAAGUCAACACUAGGACUAAACAUUUUGUGCUUAUAGCAGUUAUGAUGAUUUUGCUUUCUUUUGUGUGGGUUCUGAGCAUCGUGUUGGCCAUAAUAAAGGUGCGCAAUCUUGAUGAUGGCGCUGUACUAUGGUUGGGGUGCUCGGUUGCGCCUCCGGGCGUUUGGUUACGCUGGUACUUGGCAAGGCUCAAUGGCCAGGGAAUCGGCAAACAGAGAUCCCUCAAAUGGCUGCCCAUCGGGACACUUGUAGCCAAUGUUCUUGCUGCGGGUAUCAUGGCAUCACUGGCCGUGACUGCCAAAGCGGUGAAUACAAAGCGUUCGACAACUGUUCUUAAUGGCAUACAGUUUGGUUUCCUCGGCUGCUUGAGCACAGUGUCUACUUUUGCUGCUGAAAUCUACGCUAUGCGAAGCAGCAGACAGAUUGGUAGGGCCUUUGUCUAUGCUGCAGCGACCUUCGUGCUCUCUUUCGUGCUGGGAACUCUGGUAUACUCUGUGCCAGUAUGGGUCAAGCAUUACCAAUAGCUUCAUGAAGUAUUACAGACUUGAAGGCUUUGGCGUCAUUUUGCUGGUUGCAACAUCCAAGUAGAUAGCGCAAUUCUCAGCAUACAUAGUUAGGCUUUUCUAGGGAAUUUUGUCUGCUUUUUAAGAUAUUUGAUGUACGUUGUUGAACAUGAUGGCGUUCUGCAGCAGAAACAUGUUUGUACACAACAUCUGCCGUCAUAAUCCUGUGGACGAGAACAUCCAUAUUUAUGGAGUAUGUAUAUGAAAUAUUACAAUUU